UAGUUCACAAUGGAUUAACAUCCUACAUAGAACUUUUAUAAACACAUCCCAUGGUUAAUUGAUUUCUUGCUAACAACCAAGCUGAUUAGUCCAAUUGGAAUAAUGAUUUGGUCCUAAGUCUAGUAGGGGUUUCUCAGUUGUAGUUUUGCACUUUUGCAUAUUUUAUAGUUUUGAAUUUUUGCAUAUACGUAGUCUUACAUGGCUAUGUUAACUCCAGGCUUCAGAAUAUAAAUUUCAAAGUUAACCUUCUCCCUUGUAAAAAGUUCUUUUACCAAUGUCAUCAUCAAAAUCUAAAUUUAAAUCUAAUCUAUGUCACUUUUUAUCAUCUACAUCUGAAAGUCUUCGAACUAGGGUACUUGUUCAAUCCUUUUCUAAAAUCUAAAGUGAAAUCAAACUUCAACCAUUCCCUCUCCAACUAAAGGUCAUUUAGAUUGAAUUCAUCUCAAUCAAUAUAAAUCAAUUCUAAAUUUUAAUUUUGAACACUUUUAUAGUCCUUCUUUCCAUAGGCUAGGUCCAUAUCUAUAGUCAAUGAGCUUUAAAAAUUUUAAAAACAUUUUGGUAAGCUUCAGUGUAAUCACGCCUUAGGGAUUCAGAAAACAUUAAUCAAUAUAUUCUUCUGAUAUAUGUCAUAUUUAAGGGCCAGUGAAUUUUAAAGAUUAAAAUAUAAUUCUAUUAAAUUAAAAAAUAAUGUUUACAAAGUUGGUCUUCUCUUUCUCCAAUGAUGUGAACAUGACUUUCAAUCAAUGUCCUUCUAUUGGUGUAAUAGUGAUCUAGUUUUGAUAAAUAAAUAAUGUUCAGUUCAAAAUAUCUGGACAACAUUCUUGCAUGGUGAAGGUUGAAUCUGUGUCUGCCACAACUAUUAAGGCUCUAUUGGAGGGUGGAUUUAAAGUUACCAAGAUUCUUUUAUCUGAGCAAGAUCGAGAUGGGGUCAUCUUCUACUAUACCAUAUAUGAUGAAAUCUCAAAAGAGGAACAAGAACCACGAUGUAAGGUAAAGGGCUGAGAAAAUUAAAAUGCUCAAACAGAAUAAUCUGAUGAAUGUUGUAGUGGAAGGAACUAAAAUAAAAUCAAAACAAAUGGUUGUAAAGAAUCUAAAAUUUCAUGCAUGUCUCAUGUAUAAAGUUUGAAUCUCUUUCAUCCA